GUGAUUUUACCCUCGUCUGUAUUGGUGUGAAUGUGUUUCCACAGUGUAUGACUUCAUAUGGUUAUUUUACCUACUCUGCGUUGGUGUGAAUGUGUUUCCACAGUCUAUGAUCAGUAUAGUGAUUUUACCCCACUUUGCAUUAUUGUGAAUGUGUUUCCAUAGUGUAUGACCAUUUUAUAGUUCUGUGCGCAUACCACCAGAAUUUCAGAAUUACAGAAUUUCAGAAUUGAAUAACCUUGCUAUGUAUAUCGAGAUUAAUCGAUUCACGAGUAUGAUUAUUCCGGGUACAUUUUUGGUGUGAUGUUUCAGUAUUACAUAGCUUAUCAGAUUUUAGAAAUACAGUAUAUAGAAUAAAAAUGUUUAUGAUUAUAGUAUAUUUUAGUUUUGAUAGUAUUAUCAGAUUCUAAGCUACAAAAUUCAGUUUAAAGAAUAAAUAUCUUAGUUUAUAUGUUUAUGAAAAGAAAUUUUAUGCUAUAUGUCGAUUUUCAGAAAGAUUUUAUGAAUGGAAAAGUAUACUUUACAAGUAUCCAUUCAUUGAGUUAUAGGCUCACAUUUUUAUCACUAUUUUUUUAUCAGAUAGUAGCUGAGUUGAGCACUACUGGGCCAGUUGAUCUAUCGAGUUGAGCCAUAGAUUGUCAAGCAUUGUAUGAAUCAUCUUUUCAGUUUAAUAGUUCAUAUUUUGGGAUAGACACCUCUUUUGGUCAGAAAUAAGUUCCAUGUGUUGGGCUUGCUAUGUUUUGUAUAUAUAUUAUGCAUUUUAGGUACUGUGGUUUAGAAAUUAUUGCAAAAGUCGAAUUGCCAGUCUUAUAUUUGAAUAGUUGAUAUUUUGAGGAGUCGGUGUACCCUGUUUUAAACUAUAUGUACAUGUUGGGGAUAUUUGAUUUUAUUUUCAAGUGGUUUUAGUCCAUUUUUCAGAGGGAACUCUGUUGAAAUUUUUAUAAAAUUAUAAUAGUCAAAGCAUGUCAAGUUUGCCUUGGUGGUGGGUUCGGCACUUCGC
rnacentral:lncRNA from 1 species